UACAGAGGGGGCAAGCGUUGUUCGGAAUUACUGGGCGUAAAGGGCGCGUAGGCGGCCUGCUAAGUCGAACGUGAAAUCCCUGGGCUCAACCCAGGAACUGCGUCCGAUACUGGUUGGCUUGAAUCCGGGAGAGGGAUGUGGAAUUCCAGGUGUAGCGGUGAAAUGCGUAGAUAUCUGGAGGAACACCGGUGGCGAAGGCGACAUCCUGGACCGGUAUUGACGCUGAGGCGCGAAAGCUAAGGGGAGCAAAGCGGGG
rnacentral:rRNA from 1 species